GCAUGGAUGAAUUCUGCAUUGGCUUUUAUAAUAGCUAAUGGAGUCAGACACCAUGCAAGAGCAAAUUUUCUGUCUCAGACGUUCAUAAUGGCAUGCUGUGUGUCAGGCAGGAUGUCCGUGUCAGAAAUAGAUACACAU